rnacentral:rRNA from 1 species
UACGUAGGGGGCAAGCGUUGUCCGGAUUUAUUGGGCGUAAAGAGCGUGUAGGCGGCUUUACAGGUCCGUUGUGAAAACUCGAGGCUCAACCUCGAGACGCCGGUGGAAACCGUAAAGCUAGAGUCCGGAAGAGGAUAGUGGAAUUCCUGGUGUAGCGGUGAAAUGCGCAGAUAUCAGGAAGAACACCCGUGGCGAAGGCGGCUCUCUGGGACGGUACUGACGCUGAGACGCGAAAGCGUGGUGAGCAAACAGG